GGUGCCUAUUGGCCUUCCCUACAGCAUCCUGCCACAUGCCCUACCUAUCCCUAUCCCUAUUUUUCUCCCUGCCACUAAAACCUCCCAUUGGCACCCUCUUCUCUUAGUGCUCCAGUGUAUGUACACUGCACAAUAUUCUGAGCUAAGGUAUUAAUGACUUAAACACCACAGCAAUUUCUUAAAGGUAACUGGUUCCUAAUGAUCAGGCUGAUAAAUAAACCCAGUAGGAUUGGUUUGCCUGGUUUUCAUUCCCAGUUAGAAUGUACAUAGAUCUCUUUUUCUAGUUCAUUACAUACCAGAAACUCAGAAGUAUGGCCCAGCCUCUGAGAACUUCGGCUCAAGCACUGUUAAUGUUUUGCCAUUUUCAUGUCUAACUGUUUUCUGCCAAAACCUAAGUUCAGGAGAUUAGUCAUUAUUACUGAUGGUAUCAUCACCCAUUGCCGAACUAUAGCAAAGGACAUUUCCUUACAGGUUGCUGGUAUGGAAUACUCAUAAGAUUCAGGAGUGGUCUCCUCUCAUAGGCUCCAAAGGAGGCUAGAUCACAGAUCCCUCCUCCAAAAAUGAAAUUAAUUAUUUUAUUUUGUGUUUCAGCAUCGAGAGUGCCAGAAAAACAUCCCAAGACCCACACAGGGUUGUGCCUCAUAAUGGAUGUUUUGGCCACUGGACAUCAGAACCACAUUUUGAGUUUGAAGAAUAUUCUACAUGCCCAAAGGAGAAUGAUCAGCUGAAUGGGGCUGGGGCGGAAGCCAGGAGCAGAGAGAGGAAAUGCCCCCAAGCUGGAGAGCCCCUGUGAUUAGCAGCUGGAAGCCUAGAGCGUGACCUGCUUGUGAAGAGGCACCUCAGCAGCCAGACUCUGUGCCAAGAGCUGGAAGGCAUGCAGGGGCCACUUGCCCUGGGGGCUACCAGACUCGCUUCCUCCAAUGGCCUGCUCCAACGGUCCCUGCCCUGCAAAAUGCAAAGAGCCUGCUCCCUCCCUCUCUCCUGUUGAUGGGAGUACAGGCCAAGGAUAGUCACUCUCUGGGUGAGAUUUGAGAGGCACCACAAAAGCCCCUUACCCCUGGGGUCUCCGUCAUCCACCGCCAGGGCAGUGGCACAGGGCUGCGCACUCAGCGGGGCUCUGCACAUGGCUUAAUGCUCUGCUG
rnacentral:lncRNA from 1 species